AAAUGUACCUAACAAGCCACGCGCACCG
rnacentral:sRNA from 1 species